UCGAGGAUCUUCGGCAAUGGGCGCAAGCCUGACCGAGCGACGCCGCGUGCGGGAUGAAGGCCUUCGGGUUGUAAACCGCUGUCAGUGGGGAGGAAAUUCCUGAGGGUACUCUCUCAGGAUUGACCUAUCCGCAGAGGAAGUGUGGGCUAAGUUCGUGCCAGCAGCCGCGGUAAGACGAACCACACAAACGUUAUUCGGAAUCACUGGGCUUAAAGGGUGCGUAGGCGGCGCGGAAAGUUGGGUGUGAAAUCCCUCAGCUUAACUGAGGAAUGGCGCCCAAAACUACCGUGCUCGAGGAAGACAGAGGUGAGCGGAACUCAGGGUGGAGCGGUGAAAUGCGUUGAUAUCCUGAGGAACACCGGUGGCGAAAGCGGCUCACUGGGUCUUAUCUGACGCUGAUGCACGAAAGCUAGGGGAGCGAACGG
rnacentral:rRNA from 1 species